UGGACUAAGAGUCAGCGCGUGCCAGACCUUCGUUAUUUUAUAAAAGCUGAAGGUUUCUCUGCGUAUUGUCCCCAACACAGGGAGGAACGUUCGUUUGGGUAAUGGUGGCUUUGGCAGAUAACAGGUAACAAAGCAGUAUAAAAUCUUACCUCAAAGUAAGUAUAAAGUCAUUUUUUUAUAUUUUCUUCAGUAUAGUAUUAGAAAUCACGUCAUGCAUUGUCAGAAUAAGAAUGCAAUUCCGUCAUGUUGCGACGCACUGUCUGGUAAUAUAUUUUGAUCCAAUAAUUUUAUUUUAAUUGUAAUUAAUGUAGGAAAAAAACGUUAAGAACGCAAAUUAUUUUUCAGCUCGGAAAGGAGUUUGUGUCGUUCAAAAUCUUCAUCGAAAAGUCUUUUUCAUCUGCUAGCAUAAAAAAGUGGUUUGAAAUUGGAACCGCAAGUUUUUUAAAAUUAAAAAUUGAUGUGAUGCUAA